rnacentral:rRNA from 1 species
UACGUAGGUGGCAAGCGUUGUCCGGAUUUACUGGGCGUAAAAAGCGCGCAGGCGGUCGUUCAAGUCGCGUGUGAAAGCCCCCCGGCUCAACUGGGGAGGGUCACGCGAUACUGAUCGACUCGAAGGCAGGAGAGGGUAGUGGAAUUCCCGGUGUAGUGGUGAAAUGCGUAGAUAUCGGGAGGAACACCAGUGGCGAAGGCGACUACCUGGCCUGUUCUUGACGCUGAGGCGCGAAAGCUAGGGGAGCAAACGGG